UGGGGAAUAUUGCACAAUGGGCGGAAGCCUGAUGCAGCGACGCCGCGUGAGGGAUGACGGCCUUCGGGUUGUAAACCUCUUUCAGUAGGGAAGAAAAAAAUGACGGUACCUACAGAAGAAGCAACGGCUAAAUACGUGCCAGCAGCCGCGGUAAUACGUAUGUUGCGAGCGUUAUCCGGAAUUAUUGGGCUUAAAGGGCAUCUAGGCGGUAAGACAAGUUGAAGGUGAAAACCUGUGGCUCAACCAUAGGCUUGCCUACAAAACUGUUGAACUAGAGUACUGGAAAGGUGGGUGGAACUACACGAGUAGAGGUGAAAUUCGUAGAUAUGUGUAGGAAUGCCGAUGAUGAAGAUAACUCACUGGACAGAAACUGACGCUGAAGUGCGAAAGCUAGGGGAGCAAACAGG
rnacentral:rRNA from 1 species